rnacentral:rRNA from 1 species
CCUACGGGUGGCAGCAGUGAGGAAUAUUGGUCAAUGGCCGGAAGGCUGAACCAGCCAUGCCGCGUGAAGGGCAGGGACCUAGGGGCGUUAAACGUCUUUUGUGCGGGAGCAAGAAUGGGCACGUGGGGCCAGACGAGAGGACCGUACGAAUAAGCAGCGGCUAACUCCGGGCCAGCAGCCGCGGGAAGACGGGGGAUGCAAGCGUUAUCCGGAGUUAUUGGGUGUAAAGGGUGCGUAGGCUGUGAGGUAAGUCAGCGGGGAAAUGCCCCCGCUCAACUGGGUGAAGUGCCAUUGAUACUGCCUUGCUGGCCUGCGGAUGCCGUGGGCGGAAUGUGUGUUGUAGCGGU